rnacentral:rRNA from 1 species
GACGAACGCUGGCGGCGUGCUUAACACAUGCAAGUCGAACGAUGAAGCCGGAGCUUGCUCUGGUGAAUUAGUGGCGAACGGGUGAGUAACACGUGAGUAACCUGCCCUUGACUCUGGGAUAACUGCUAGAAAUGGUAGCUAAUACCGGAUACGACCCUCGGAGGCAUCUCCAGGGGGUGGAAAGAAUUUCGGUCAAGGAUGGACUCGCGGCCUAUCAGCUAGUUGGUGAGGUAAUGGCUCACAAAGGCGACGACGGGUAGCCGGCCUGAGAGGGUGAGGGGCCACACUGGAAUGGAAACACGGCCCAGACUCCACGGGGGGGGAGGAGUGGGGAAUAUUGCACAAUGGGCGCAAGCCUGAUGCAGCAACGCCGCGUGGGGGAUGACGGCCUUCGGGUUGUAAACCUCUUUUAGUAGGGAAGAAGCGAAAGUGACGGUACCUGCAGAAAAAGCCCCGGCUAACUACGUGCCAGCAGCCGCCGUAA